GCUCGAAAAGUCUUCAUAGGAAUGCCAGCCAAGCUUAAGAGCGUGAUAAGUGGUCGAUAUAUUUUUCUCGGUCAUUGAAAAGCCUAUGAAGCCUUCUCUGUCGGUACUGAUGUAUAAGGAAAUCUCUGCGUAACUUUCGUGGUGAGCUACGUUGUAUCCAAAUAUACGUGAAAUGGGUCAAGUGCCUAACCAUGGACUUGGAGAGUUAAAGCAAUCAAAGGCAGAAAUUUUGGACAGACCUCAUCUUCUUGCGCAGAAUGUUAUGUAUACGCCAUGCCUGCAUCAUAUUAUCUGCGUUCUAGAAUCCCAGGGCCGAGAAAGUGACGCACACUGUGGACGUGAUAGCUGAAGCAAUAAGCUAUCGAGUGCUGUGUGCCCAUAUUAAUAUAAUAAAAUCAUGAUCAUUUUUUCUUCAUUCGUUAUAUUAAUUUUAAUACAUAAGUAAUAAAAUAAAUAUUAGUUAAUGUCUGAUAAGAAGAAACGUGACACUGACAUAAAAUUAUUGAAAGUAUAUCUAGAAAAAGGGGCAAAAGAACGUCGUGCAAAGACAACUGUUAGGAAAAGUGUACACGUGUGUACUUAAAAAUUGAAAAAAAGAGAAACAAAUGAAAAGAUUGUAUGAAUAACUGGUGCGAUUAUAUGAUUCUUUUCAAACUGAACGCUGAAGCGUAUUCAGGCGUGCUCAUCCAUCCCCAAGCGUAGGAAAGUGAACUGCAUUUUCGAGCUUUGUUUUUUUUUCGCGACAUAUAAUAAAAUCUAUUUAUCUUUUUUGAGUUUGCUUUCGAAGUGUUUGACUUAAAUAUGAACACUUUAUAUACAGGAAAAAACUGCAAUCGUAGCUUACUUCGACGCAAAUUAUAACGUACGAGUUAACCAAUUGUCUAAGCUCGGAUUUGUCUUAAGAAGACCGAUGUCUUGCCGAAAUUUCAUUUUCUUUACCAAGACAUUAUCGAGUUUAAAUUUUUUUUUUUUUUUCAAUUUUUUUAUUUACUAUCAGAUAGAAGGAACACUUUGUGACGUUCUACGAAAUGAUAGCUUUAGAAUUACGUAACUUUGUAGGAAAAAAUGCAUUAUAUUGCUGAUACAAGGGAUAACACUUCGCUAGCUUCUUGCAAUCAGCAGUAAGCGAAUGAUUCGUUCGACUCCGCUCCAGGAAUAUUGUCGUGUCCUCUUUGAUCAUUAAUAUUUAUAAAGUCGAUGAAAGUCUUCCAACAAAUUCGAGGGAAACCGGCUUAUUUCCUCUUAAGGCAUCGUCGCGGAACUAAACUUUGAUCAAAAAACAAUUUUGAACCGUUUCCAUUGUAGUUGUAUUUGAGUACCAGUAUAAACAGUGAAUAACUUAAAAAGCUGAAUGUAUGUCUGCGCACGGUUGCUGAAACUGCUGAAAGGAAAUCGAAGUAUAUAAUCGUCGAUGGAAAGCUGAUCACAUACGGAAAUUACAUUGCGCAGAAAAUCAGGCAAAUUCAGUUAACGGGGACUUCAAAAGAAGCUUUCGAGAAUUACUUCAGCUGCAGAGUUCGCCCGUAAGGCCUUUUAGCACACAAGUGUCAAAAGUUAUCGGUCACAAUGGCGUAUACCUAACCUAAAAAAGUAUGUAUUGGUAUUUUGGAGAAAAUUUUUUUCUUUCAUUUUCGUUACACUCUUUCUUCGCCGACUUAUUAAAACCAAGUGAAAGAAAUAACGGGCGGACAUGCGAUGGACAAUAAGAUUAAAUCGAGCCAGAAUCUUACAUCGAUUAAACGUAAUAAGUUUUUAUGAGUUCUUUAAUGCGUAAAUGCGUGAAAAUAAAUUCUUUCACAUCUCUGCAGGGAGCGCAUUGACUUGUCAACGUUGUAGGAGCUCCAGAGUUGCUUAAUAUGUUUAUGAAAUACUUUUCAUCAGGCGACUUCGUCAUGUUUAAUGUAACAUUUUGGAAAAUGAAUGAAAAAGGAAACCGAGAGCGAUAAAGCAUUUGAUGAACCGAACGAUAGGUUCGAUUCGAAUAAGCAAGCGUGGCGGGCCAAACUAUUUCUUACUAGUUUAUGUUUUAUUUUUUGUUAAGGCACAUAAAUUUUAAUAGUUUAUAAAAUAAUUGCUUUCGAUUCAAAUCAUCUGUAAGCGGGGAAACUUCUCGGCGGGAAGGAUCAAGCCUACAUAUGAACAUGUUAACAGCAGAGAUGGCGGUUUCUUUUAUUAUACAAAAAAAAAAAAAAAAAAAAACCAUUUUCCUACAUAAUUUCUUUCGAGAACAACUUCUCCAAAUUCUUCAAAUAACCUAACGAUAGAGAGUUUCUGAUUUGCAGCAACAACUAAAUAGAAAGUUUUAAAUAUAACAACAAACUUUUUUUUUACCCAAAUGCCCAUGAAACAACAAAACUAUGACAGUUGUAAGUUCCUAAGUCAAUGAGUGAAAAAAGAAGCAUUGAAUUCAUAUUAAAUUAAAAUAACAGUGGAGCAUAUACGGGUAAAAA